rnacentral:SRP_RNA from 1 species
CUGCGCUAGGUGGGGAGUCAGCGGUGCCCUGUACUUGCAAUCCGCUACAGCAAGACCGAACGUUCCCCGAGGCGUGUCGUAUGGUUGGCUGCAUACGGCAAGGCGCGUUGAUAACAAGGUCUUAUGCAACGGAUCUCCGUGAACCGCGUCAGGAUAGGGAUAUAGCAGCGCUAAACGACAGUUUUCGUGUGCCAUAAGGUUGCUUUGAAGGAGCGACCUACCGUGUUUCCGCUUCGGUAUGGCGCGUCGACGGGAUACCCGCGCAG